rnacentral:tRNA from 1 species
UCGCGGGGUAGAGCAGUUGGUAGCUCGUCGGGCUCAUAACCCGGAGGUCGUAGGUUCGAAUCCUUCCCCCGCAAU